CAGUCGCCACGGUAAUACGGAGGGGGCUAGCGUUGUUCGGAAUUACUGGGCGUAAGGCGCACGUAGGCGGCUUGGUAAGUUAGAGGUGAAAGCCCGGAGCUCAACUCCGGAAUUGCCUUUAAGACUGCCGAGCUAGUAGGUGAGAGAGGUAAGUUGAAUUCCGAGUGUAGAGGUGAAAUUCGUAGAUAUUCGGAAGAACACCAGUGGCGAAGGCGGCUUACUGGCUCAUUCUAGACGCUGAGGUGCGAAAGCGUGGGGAGCAAACAGGAUUAGAUACCCCCGUAGUCCCUGUCUCUUAUAC
rnacentral:rRNA from 1 species